rnacentral:rRNA from 1 species
CACGUAGGGUGCGAGCGUUGUCCGGAAUUAUUGGGCGUAAAGAGCUCGUAGGCGGUCUGUCGCGUCGAUCGUGAAAACUUGGGGCUUAACCCUGAGCUUGCGGUCGAUACGGGCAUGACUGGAGUUCGGCAGGGGAGACUGGAAUUCCUGGUGUAGCGGUGAAAUGCGCAGAUAUCAGGAGGAACACCGGUGGCGAAGGCGGGUCUCUGGGCCGAUACUGACGCUGAGGAGCGAAAGCGUGGGGGAGCGAACAGG